ACGGUUAUAUCACGUUAAGUCACCGGUUUUCGUACGAUCACCGAAGUUAAGCAACUUCUAGUCAGGUCAGUACCUAGAUGGGUGACCGUUUAUAAAUACCAGGUGUUGUAAG